UACGUAGGGGGCAAGCGUUGUCCGGAAUCAUUGGGCGUAAAGAGCGUGUAGGCGGCUCGAUAAGUCUGCUGUGAAAGUCCAGGGCUCAACCCUGGAAGGCCGGUGGAAACUGUCGGGCUAGAGUCCGGAAGAGGCGAGUGGAAUUCCCGGUGUAGCGGUGAAAUGCGCAGAUAUCAGGAGGAACACCGGUGGCGAAGGCGGCAUCCUGGACCGGCAUUGACGCUGAGGCGCGAAAGCCAGGGGAGCAAACGGG
rnacentral:rRNA from 1 species